rnacentral:rRNA from 2 species
GGUUAAGCGACUAAGCGUACACGGUGGAUGCCCUGGCAGUCAGAGGCGAUGAAGGGCGUGCUAAUCUGCGAUAAGCGCCGGUAAGGUGAUAUGAACCGUUAUAACCGGCGAUACCCGAAUGGGGAAACCCAGUGUGACUCGUCACACUAUCAUUAACUGAAUCCAUAGGUUAAUGAGGCGAACCGGGGGAACUGAAACAUCUAAGUACCCCGAGGAAAAGAAAUCAACCGAGAUUCCCCCAGUAGCGGCGAGCGAACGGGGAGGAGCCCAGAGCCUGAAUCAGCAUGUGUGUUAGUGGAAGCGUCUGGAAAGGCGCGCGAUACAGGGUGACAGCCCCGUACACAAAAGCGCAUGUGCUGUGAGCUCGAUGAGUAGGGCGGGACACGUGGUAUCCUGUCUGAAUAUGGGGGGACCAUCCUCCAAGGCUAAAUACUCCUGACUGACCGAUAGUGAACCAGUACCGUGAGGGAAAGGCGAAAAGAACCCCGGCGAGGGGAGUGAAAAAGAACCUGAAACCGUG